GACGUAGGGCGCGAGCGUUGUCCGGAUUUAUUGGGCGUAAAGAGCUCGUAGGCGGCUUGUUGCGUCGACCGUGAAAACCCGGGGCUCAACUUCGGGCUUGCGGUCGAUACGGGCGGGCUAGAGUUCGGUAGGGGAGACUGGAAUUCCUGGUGUAGCGGUGAAAUGCGUAGAUAUCUGGAGGAACACCGGUGGCGAAGGCGGCAUCCUGGACCGGUAUUGACGCUGAUGAGCGAAAGCCAGGGGAGCAAACGGG
rnacentral:rRNA from 1 species